GAUGAACGCUGGCGGCGUGCCUAAUACAUGCAGGUCGAGCGAACAGACGAGGAGCUUGCUCCUCUGACGUUAGCGGCGGACGGGUGAGUAACACGUGGAUAACCUACCUAUAAGACUGGGAUAACUUCGGGAAACCGGAGCUAAUACCGGAUAAUAUAUUGAACCGCAUGGUUCAAUAGUGAAAGACGGUUUUGCUGUCACUUAUAGAUGGAUCCGCGCCGCAUUAGCUAGUUGGUAAGGUAACGGCUUACCAAGGCAACGAUGCGUAGCCGACCUGAGAGGGUGAUCGGCCACACUGGAACUGAGACACGGUCCAGACUCCUACGGGAGGCAGCAGUAGGGAAUCUUCCGCAAUGGGCGAAAGCCUGACGGAGCAACGCCGCGUGAGUGAUGAAGGUCUUCGGAUCGUAAAACUCUGUUAUUAGGGGAGAACAAAUGUGUAAGUAACUAUGCACGUCUUGACGGUACCUAAUCAGAAAGCCACGGCUAACUACGUG
rnacentral:rRNA from 1 species